rnacentral:rRNA from 1 species
GAUGAACGCUGGCGGCGUGCCUAACACAUGCAAGUCGAACGAAGCGUGACGGAUGAUGUCUUCGGAAUGAAACCAGAUAUGACGUAGUGGCGGACGGGUGAGUAACCCGAUAGCAACCGGCCUUUCAGGGGGGGAUAACGGCAGUACACGGUCGUAUAUACCGCAUGAUGUGUCCGGAGUGCAUCACGGUAAUAUCAAACAUUUAUCGCUGAGCGAUGGGCUCGCGUCUGGUUGGAUAGGUGGUGGGAUAACAGCCUACCAAGGCUACGAUCAGUAGCCGGCCUGAGCGGUUGCACGGCCACAUUGCCACUGAGAUGCGGCCCAGACUCCUCCUGCAGGCAGCAGUGGGGCAUAUUGCACCAUGGCCGAAUCACUGAUGCAGCAACGCCGCGUGAAGGAUGACGGUUUUAGGAUUGUAAACUUCUUUUCUUAGUUACGAAGACAGUGACGGUAGCUAAGGAAUAAGCCUCGGCUAACUACGUG